AACGCUAGCGGCGCGCUUAACACAUGCAAGUCGAGCGAGAACCGGGGCUUCGGCCCCGGGGACAGCGGCGAACGGGUGAGUAACACGUGGGUAAUCUGCCCUCGGUUCCGGGAUAGCCCGGGGAAACUCGGAUUAAUACCGGAUAGCCUCACGAGCCUUCGGGCGCGUGAGAAAAAGUAGCUUCGGCCUCUGACCGAGGAUGAGCCCGCGGCGGAUUAGCUUGUUGGCGGGGUAACGGCCCACCAAGGCGACGAUCCGUAGCUGGUCUGAGAGGACGAUCAGCCACACUGGGACUGAGACACGGCCCAGACUCCUACGGGAGGCAGCAGUGGGGAAUCUUGCGCAAUGGGCGAAAGCCUGACGCAGCGACGCCGCGUGAGGGAAGAAGGCCCUAGGGUUGUAAACCUCUUUCAGGUGGGACGAAGCCACUCGGGUGAAUAGCCCAGAGGGUGACGGUACCUCCAGAAGAAGCCCCGGCUAACUACGUGCCAGCAGCCGCCGUAACAC
rnacentral:rRNA from 1 species